rnacentral:tRNA from 1 species
UCCCAGGUGGCUCAGUGGUAAGCAAUCUGCCUGCAAUGCAGGAGACCUGGGUUCAAUCCCUGGGUUGGGAA